GUCGUUGUAGUAUAGUGGUGUGUAUAUCUGCCUAUCACGCGGAUGACCCGGGUUCGAGCCCCGGUAACGGCA